AUGGAAGGGAUCCUGCAGAAGCAUAUGGCGGAUGCGAAAGAGGGGUCCCUUCCUCUUCCUAUGAGCAAGAGGAAGCGGAAGGAGGCUGUGAUGGAUGCGGAUGACAAGAAGAAAGAGGAAGAAAAGGAUAAGAAGGGUAAGAAGGAAGAAGAAGAAGAAGAAGAAGAAGAAGAAGAAGAAGAAGAAGAAGAGAAUCAAAGGCAGCAGGAGGGAGGUGGGAUUCUGACAUGCAAGCUUUUCUCUGAUCUCUACAUGUCCGACCUCACUGCCAAGGCCAUCAGAGAGAUGAACUACACCCACCUCACACAGAUUCAAGCUAGAUCAAUACCGCACCUCAUGGUAGGACAUGAUGUGCUGGGUUCAGCCAGGACUGGCUCGGGGAAGACGCUUGCUUUCCUUAUACCCGCCAUCGAACUGCUACACAACGCGCACUACACCCCUAGGAACGGGACUGGAGUUAUUAUAGUUUGCCCAACAAGGGAGCUUGCUAUCCAGACACACAAUGUUGCCAAGGAAUUAAUCAAGUAUCACUCACAAACUAUCGGAUAUGUAAUUGGUGGCACUAACAUGAAAAGCGAGGCCAACCAACUUGUGAAAGGGAUCAAUCUGUUAGUUGCAACGCCGGGCAGGCUUCUGGACCAUUUGAGAAGUACCAGUAAUUUCAACUACAAGAGGCUACAGUGCCUCAUAAUCGAUGAAGCUGACCGCAUACUUGAGCAAAAUUUUGAGGAUGACAUGAAACAAAUAUUUCGACGUCUCCCUCGGGAUAGACAAACUGUUCUCUUUUCUGCCACACAGACUCAAAAGGUUGAAGAUUUUGCAAAAUUUACGUUUGGGGAAAAUGAAGAAAGACAACGAAAACUUGUUUAUGUUGGAGUUGAUGAUUCUGAAUUAAAGCCUACCGUGGAGGGGUUGCAGCAGGGCUACUGUGUCAUUCCUAGCGAGAAAAGGUUUCUGGUUCUGUAUGCUUUCCUAAAAAGGAUGCAGACGAAGCAGGAUGUGAAGGUCAUGGUCUUCUUUUCAUCAUGUAGCUCAGUCAAAUUCCAUGCAGAAUUUCUAAAUUUCCUUGGGAUAGAGUGUUAUGAUAUCCACGGGCAACUAAAGCAGCAGAAACGCACUAGUACAUUCUUCCAAUUUUCCAAGAUGAAUAAGGGCAUCUUAUUAUGCACUAACGUGGCAGCACGUGGGCUUGAUAUUCCUAAUGUGGACUAUAUUGUGCAGUAUGAUCCUCCAGAUGACCCAAAGGACUACAUUCAUAGAGUUGGUCGUACUGCCCGAGGUGAUAAAGGCAAAGGACGCGCGUUAUUGUUCUUACUACCAGAAGAAAUGAAGUUGCUUAUUUACCUACAGGUGUCCAAAAUUUCUCUGACUGAAUAUGCUUUCAGUGAAAAGCAUGUGCCAAAAACACAAUCGCUACUUGAGAGUAUUGUUGGUGGGAAUUACUUUUUAAACCAGUCAGCGAAGGAAGCCUACAGGUCCUACCUUUUGGCAUACAGCUCACACUCCAUGAAGGACAUUUUUGAUGUCCAUCAACUUGAUCUCAAGAAAGUUGCGGCAUCUUUCUGUUUCAAUAACCCUCCUAAAGUGAAUCUGGACUUGGAGAGUAGUGCGUCGAGACACCGAAAGAUGAGGAAGGUGGAGGGUGGAAAGAGGCACGGAAUUACCCCUUCAAACCCCUAUGGAAGGAGAGGCGCUCAUGAUGGCGUGCAGUUUGCAAGAUAA
rnacentral:rRNA from 1 species